rnacentral:rRNA from 1 species
AUGAGGUGGCUAUGUUUGGCUAUGGGAGCUCGCACACGCGGUGGCGCAUCGAGGACAAAGGGGGUGGUGGCGCAGGAGAUGCGGAGGCCGCCGGCGCUAUUCAUGGGUGAGGCCGCAACCCGCUGCAGAGAUAACAACUCUUUAUCGCACUUGCUAUUUAGGGGCUGUUUGGUUCUUGUCCACGCCAGCCUGACCAAAUUAGGGGCUGCCAAAAUAUUGGCGCUGGUUUCAGCCGAUGAUAUUCCUCUGUGCUUUAAUAUUCAGACUUCAGAGUCAAGAAGCAUGUCAUAUUGUUUUCCUGGUGCUUGGUUCAAGCAAGUUACUGAAUUGAGUAUGCUUGGAAAGGUCAAAGACUGGCGUCUCUUCAGGUGGUUGGACAGGUACUUGGACAUGGUCGAGGAAAUUCGGAUGAUAAAUGUGCUCAUCAUCAGUAAUGCGGCUGCUUGCAGCGUGUAA